ensembl:lncRNA
GUCCCUAUGGGGUUUUUCUGAGGCUCCCUAUGGGAUUUUUAUGCGUUCCUUAUGGGGUCACUAUGGGUUCCCUAUGGGUUCCCUAUGGGGUCCCUUUGGGGUCCUUCUGGGCUCCUUAUGGGGUCUCUAUGGGGUUCCCUAUGGGGUCCCUAUGGGGUUUUUCUGAGGCUCCCUAUGGGAUUUUUAUGGGCUCCUUAUGGCGUCUCUAUGGGUUCCCUAUGGGGUUUUUAUGGGGUUCCCUAUGGGGUCCCUAUGGGGUUUUUAUGGGGUCCUUAUGGGGUUUAUAACAGGGAUCCUUAUGGGGUCACUAUGGGUUCCCUCUAGGGUCCCUAUGGGGUUUUUAUGGGGUUUUUAUGGGGUUCCUAUGGGGUUUUUAUGGGGUCCCAAUGGGGUUUUUUAUGGGGUCUCCCUAUGGGCUCCUUAUGGGGUCUCCCUAUGGGGUCUCUAUGGGUUCCCUAUGGGGUUUUUAUGGGGUCUCCCUAUGGGGUCUUCCUAUGGGGUUUUUGUGGGUUUUUUUAUGGGGUCUCCCUAUGGGGUUUUUAUGGGGUUUUUUAUGGCAUCNNNNNNNNNNNNNNNNNNNNNNNNNNNNNNNNNNNNNNNNNNNNNNNNNNNNNNNNNUACCUAUGGGGUUUUUAUGGGGUCUCCCUAUGGGGUUUUUAUGGGGUUUUUAUGGGGUUCCCUAUGGGGUUUAUAACGGGGCUCCCUUUGGGGUCUCUAUGGGGUUUUUUUAUGGGGUCUCCCUAUGGGGUCUCCCUAUGGGGUCCCAAUGGGGUUUUUUUAUGGGGUCUUCCUAUGGGGACCCUAUGGGGUCUCUAUGGGGUCCCUGUGGGGUCUCUCUAUGGGGUUUCCCUAUGGGGUCUCCCUAUGGGGUUUUUAUGGGGUUUUUUGUGGGGUCUUUCUAUGGGGUUUUUAUGGAGUCUCUAUGGGGUUUUUUAUGGGGUCUCCCUAUGGGGUUUUUAUGGGGUCUCUAUGGGGUCUCUAUGGGGUCCCCAUGGGGUUUUUCUGGGGUCUCUAUGGGGUUUAUAACGGGGCUCCCUGUGGGGUCUCUAUGGGGUCCUUAUGGGCUCCUUAUGGGGUCUCUAUGGGGUCCCUAUGGGGUUUUUAUGGGGUCUCCCUAUGGGGUUUUUAUGGGUUUUUUUGUGGGGUGUUUCUAUGGGGUUUUUAUGGGGUCCCUAUGGGAUUUUUAUGGGGUCUCUCUAUGGGGUUUUUAUGGGGUUUUUUGUGGGGUGUUUCUAUGGGGUUUUUAUGGGGUCUCUAUGGGGUUUUUUAUGGGGUCUCCCUAUGGGGUUUUUUAUGGGGUCCCCCAUUAUUUCUCACCAUCUCUGCCCCACAGCGCCGCCCCCGCCAAGGAAAAUCCCUUUUUGUGCUUCGCCUCCUCCGCCUUCCGCCCCCCCGGCAGCUGCGGGGGCAAUUAACCCUUCCUUAAUUAACCGCUAAUUAAUGAACCGCCAAUUAAUGAACCGCCAACGAAUCCCUCCUUCGGCGCUCGUUAAUUCACCCAUCCUCAAAAAGUUCAUUAACAUCCCAAAAGGGGGUGGGGGGUCCCACAAACCUCCCCCCCCCCCCUUUCUGCCGAAUUAACGUGAAAUUAAGAACCGUUCUAAUGAGGAAAUAACGAUUAAUUGGUGAUGAAUCGUUAAUUAGGCCUUAAAUUAAUUAUCAACAGCAGCCGUCCAGCAAACAGGGAGGUUUAUUCUUCACCCAGAAUCAGCGAGUUGGGUUUGUUUGAUGCAGGAACUCAUUAAUAAACCACCCAUUAAUUGCUAAUUAAUCA